GUGCUACUGAGGAGUCCCAUAAUAGGACGAAACGGCUGUUCAGUGC
rfam:Schistosoma rodhaini strain Burundi genome assembly, scaffold: SROB_scaffold0003325